GACGUAGGGCGCGAGCGUUGUCCGGAUUUAUUGGGCGUAAAGAGCUCGUAGGCGGCUUGUCGCGUCGUUCGUGAAAACCUGUGGCUCAACUACAGGCUUGCGGUCGAUACGGGCAGGCUGGAGUUCGGUAGGGGAGACUGGAAUUCCUGGUGUAGCGGUGAAAUGCGCAGAUAUCAGGAGGAACACCGGUGGCGAAGGCGGGUCUCUGGGCCGAUACUGACGCUGAGAAGCGAAAGCGUGGGGAGCGAACAGG
rnacentral:rRNA from 1 species